rnacentral:rRNA from 1 species
GCUCGACCUCAGAUCAGGUAGGAAUACCCGCUGAACUUAAGCAUAUCAAUAAGCGGAGGAAAAGAAACCAACAGGGAUUGCCUCAGUAGCGGCGAGUGAAGCGGCAAGAGCUCAGAUUUGAAAUCGUGUUUCGGCACGAGUUGUAGAGUGUAGGCGGGAGUCUCUGUGGAGCGCGGUGUCCAAGUCCCUUGGAACAGGGUGCUCUGAGAGGGUGAGAGCCCCGUGGGGUGCUGCGCAAGUAUGAGACCAGUGAACCCGU